rnacentral:rRNA from 1 species
AACGAACGCUGGCGGCAGGCUUAACACAUGCAAGUCGAACGAGCUGGGGGCUUCGGUCCCCGAUGCUAGUGGCGCACGGGUGAGUAACACGUGGGAAUAUGCCCUUUAGUACGGAAUAACCAAGGGAAACUUUGGCUAAUACCGUAUACGCCCUUCGGGGGAAAGAUUUAUCGCUAAAGGAUUAGCCCGCGUCUGAUUAGGUAGUUGGUGAGGUCAUGGCUCACCAAGCCGACGAUCAGUAGCUGGUCUGAGAGGGUGAUCAGCCACACUGGGACUGAGACACGGUCCAGACUCCUACGCGAGGCAGCAGUAGGGAAUCUUCCGCAAGGGGGGAGAGCCUGACGGAGCAACGCCGCGUGAGUGAUGAACGUGUUCGGCUCGGAAAGCUCUGUUAGUAGGGAAGUACAAAUGUGUAAUUAACUGUGCAGAUCUUGACGGUACCCGAACAGAAAGCCACGGCUAACUACGUG